rnacentral:rRNA from 1 species
CCUACGGGAGGCAGCAGUGGGGGAUAUUGCACAAUGGGGGAAACCCUGAUGCAGCGAAGCCGCGUGGGUGAAGAAGCGCCUCGGCGCGUAAAGCCGUGUAAGCAGGGAAGAAAAUGACGGUACGUGAAGAAGAAGCCCCGGCAAACUAGGUGACAGCAGCCGCGGUAAUACGGAGGGGGCAAGCGUUAUCCGGAUUUACUGGGGUUAAAGGGGGCGCAGACGGGGAUGCAAGCCAGGAGUGAAAGGCCGGGGCGCAACCCCGGGACUGCUCUUGGAACUGGGUGGCUAGAGUGCAGGAGGGGCAGGCGGAAUUCCUGGUGUAGCGGUGAAAUGCGUAGAUAUCAGGAGGAACACCGGUGGCGAAGGCAGCCUGCUGGACUGCAACUGACGUUGAGGCCCGAAAGCGUGGGGAGCAAACAGGAUUAGAUACCCCAGUAGUC